AAGCGGUUGCCUUCUGAGGGCUGAAGCGUAUAUCAGUACCAGGUUCAGACUUCGUGGGAGGCUUUAAGAGGGGGGGAAGGGCCUAUGAUAAUACAUUGGCGUGGACAUGUGCGUCUUAAGUUUGGGAAAGUGUUAUGAGAGGUGGUUGGGACCACCGAGCGUCUGCUUUGGUGUAUCUGAUGGCCCCAUUCUCCGUGAGGUUAGGCCCAUUCUCCGUGAGGUUAUGUGAUUUGAUAUGUGACCCUAUAUGCAUCUCUGUGGGUGUUUGGUUGACACUUGAGCUGUAGAGUGUGUCUGCUGUGUGACUUUUUCUUAAUUGUUUAAUCUUUAUGAGCUUCAGUUGCUCAUGUGUGCACGGAACAAUAUUUCUUAGCUAAUAGUGUUGCGAGGAUUAAGUGCUCAUAAAUGUGCCUGGCACAAAAUAAGCAAUGAAUGGAGAAACUGUGCUUCAGUGCAUUAUUUAGAUCAUGGGCUUUUAGGUCAUUUGAUUCUACUUUGUCAUUGUUUUGAGCUAUUUACCAACUCACAUUGUGGAUCACUGAUGGCAGUUCAAAUUACUUCUUGUUUACAGAAAAGUAAAUUGGAGGAGGCUCAGCUUACUUCCCUCCUCCAUCUCCAUUUGUGAGGAGGCCAGUUUUUGCCUCUUUUGCUGCUGCAUAUCAUUUUAAUUUUAAUUUUUUUUGUUUUGUUAAGAAACAGCAUCUCACUCUAUUGCCAACACUGAAGUGCAGUGGCACCAUCAUAGCUCACUGCAGCCACGACCGCUUGACAUCCUGGAUUGAAUCUAUCUUCCUGCCUCAGCCUCCUGAUUAGCUGGGACUACAGGUGUGCACCACCAUGCCCGGCUAAUUUUUUAAGUAUAGGUGAGAUCUCACUAUGUUACCCAGGCUGGUCUCAAACUCGUGGCCUCAAGCGAUCCUCCCACAUUGACCUCCCAAAGUGCUGCGAUUACAGGCAUGAGCCACUGCAGCCAGCCACUUUAAUAUUCUUGAUCUAUAAAUGUGACUUUUUUUCGGCUCGGGGAAGGGUUCUCUUAUGAGUUGGUUUUAAUACGUCACCAGUUUUUCUCAUUAAUGAGUUAAGUAAAAUCUUCAAUCUGUGUAUUUUGCCUAUUAGAGUGCCUUGUAAUUUUUUCCUGAUAGCUGAAUAUGAUGUACUUGGUAAAAUGAGCCGCAUGAUAGGUCUUUAGUAACAUGGUGAUAAGAUUUGGUUGUGAGAGGGGAAGUGUUCUAUGGUCUGCAAAAAUAAUAUAUAAACUUAGGCACAUUAAAAUUUUAAAGAGUUUAAGCAGAUAGCAGUUCAUGAAUUGGGCAUUGCCAGAUCACAUGCAGCUUAGGGCCUCUCUGAAGAGGCAUGAGGGAAGGGCUUUUACAGGCUGAACUCAGAAACAAGGCAAAGAAAAUACUUGAUUGGUUAGAGUAGAGCCUUAUUUGGAUCAUUCCAGUGGGAAGUCAAUAGUAGGAGGUUAAUUGGUGGUUUCUGAUUGGUUAAGGCCAGUUACACUGAGUUGGGUUUGGGUUUGCUUAGGUUAAGAAUUCAGGCUACUGGAGCCACCUCGGCCUAAUGGCCUCCCAAUUAAUGGUUUCAACAAGUCUUAAUGGUAAGGUUUCUUUUUUUUUUUUUUUUUUUUUGAGACAGAGUCUCGCUGUGUCACCCAGGCUGGAGUGCAAUGGCACAAUCUCGGCUCACUGCAAGCUCCGCCUCCUGCCUCAGCUUCCCGAGUAGCUGGGACUACAGGCAUCCGCCACCACACCCAGCUAAUUUUUUGUAUUUUUAGUAGAGACGGGGUUUCACCAUGUUAGCCAGGAUGGUCUCGAUCUCUGACCUCGUGAUCCGCCCGCCUCGGCCUCCCAAAGGUUUCAGUCUCUUAUCCUGAGCCCAGGGACUAUGAAUUUCACAAGUCCUUCCGAGUAAAACCCUUUCCCCUUAAGUGGGACAGGGUGGCAAGAGGGGACCAGAAUUGUUUAUUUUCCUUCUUCCAGGUCAUUUGGACACUGAUAAAACCCCAAGACGGUAGGCUCUGAUAAAAUAGUUUCUCUCCUGAGCAUUGAACAGAAUGCCGUGGUAUAUUUCAAAAUGGCUACUCUUCCUCUUCCCCUGCCAGAACCAGCUGGGGACUUUUCUCAGAUCUUCACUGUGAGAACCUGCUAGAGUCCUUGGAGAUAAAACUCACGAAAGUGUAAAGAUAGCUCUAUGGCAAGGUCUUCUUGGAGUUUUUAAUUCUCAGACUUAACCACAUUCAGCUUCCAGCAAUUCAUCAAUUAGAGUUCAGGUUUUCCUAACCUUGUUCUGGUUCCUGCAGAGGCACAAAGAUUACUGCUUGUGAGUUUCUGCUCUGGUAAGUUAUCAUUCUCUGUGUCUGCCUGUCUCCAACUUUGGAGGCAGUAGCUUGCCUUGUGACCUCACUUAUUUGACAGAUCUAAGAAGAAUUGCUGAUUUUUCAGUUUGUUCAGCUUUUUAUUUGUUGUUAGGAUGGAGUGAGGACUUCCAGCUCCUUGCUGGACCAGAAACUGGAAGUCUCAGUAAUGUCUUUAAACACGUUCACUUUUGUAUCCAUAUGAGACUCAUCUUUGAAUAGCAGGUAGUGAAUUUUAGCUGCUUAAGCCUUUUAACCAUGUUGUAUAGGGAAACUGCGUGUCUAUUGUUGAGGAAAUAAAAACAGAAACUUCCUGCCAACCCAGAAAACCUCGCUACAAAGGUAGAAGGGAAAGAAAACAGUUUUAUUAUUGAAUAAGCAUUACACCAGAAUCCAGUAUGUACCAUAGGCAGUCGGCUAAAGAGAUUGCUAAGACAGAAAUCUCAUCUUUUUUCUAUAGCCAAACAAAUACAACCCAUUAUGUACAUUUCUCAAGAUCAACAAUAAUUAGUCAAGUCAUAGGAAUUGGAGGGCCUCCACUACCAACCAGAGGGCCAAACCAUGACUUUAAAUGAAGUAAUACAUUCUGAUAAGAACAAAGCGUUCUUGUUUAUGUGUGAUGUGUCUGUUCUGUUUCCAGGAAUGGAUGUUUUCUUUUAAAAAUGGUUUAUUGAAGUAUCAUGUACCUAUCUUAAGUGUACAGCACGAUGAUGUGUAUGCCCAUGUAACCAUCACCUAGAAGGUAAAGAAUAUUUCCAUCACACUGGAAACUUCCCUUGAGCUCCUUCCCAUUCAUCACCCCCUUAGAAGAACCACUAUUCUGAUGUUUAUCCCAUAGAUUCAUUUUGCCAGUUCUUGGCCUUCUUAGAAUAGUAUACAAUAUGUAUUCUUUUGCAUCUGGCUUCUCUUAGCAUAAUGUUAGCAAUUCAUAUGUGUAGGGUAUACGUCAACAGUUCUUAGUAGCAUUCCAUUGCAUGAAUGUACCAGUUAGUUUAUGCAUUCACUCAUUAAUGGACAUCCAGCUUGUUUUAAGUUUUUAACUGCUGUGAAUAAAGCUGUAUGAACAUAUCUCUCUAUGGCCAUGUGCACUCCUUUCUCUUGUAAUAGAGGUAGGGUCAUGGGAUAGUUGUGUGUUUAAUUUUUUAAAAAACUGUCAGUUUUCCAAAGUGGUUGUACCAUAUAACAUGUUCACUACCAAUGUAUGAUAAUUCCAGUCAUUCCACAUCCUUUCCAAGACUUUAUAUUGUCGUUCUUUCAAUUGUAGUCAUUCUGAUGUGUCUGUAGUAGUAUCCUGUUUUCUUAGUGAAGCAAAAGUAAUAUCAAUAGACAGUCUGAUUUAUUAUUGGCCUACAAUAGCUGAAAACCUAUUUAGUUCUCAACUUUCUUGAGUAACAACAUAAGUUCAUAUGGUAAGCUGUCUCUACAUUGCUUGGUUCAAAAAGUCCUGCAGAGGACCACUGAGCUUUAAAAAGUGCUGUCACCCUUCAGGUUCUCUGUCUCCUCAAUCUAUUCUUUGCCUGACUUAAGGAUUUUUUUCCUGCCCAGAAGCUCUCCAGCUGUUCAUCCCCUCCUCCAUGUUCUAGCUUUACUGGAUGGAUGGAUUGCCUGUGAUGGGAGGGGUUGCUGCAGAGGUCUCUGAAAUGCCUUUGAGACCUUUCUGCCAUUGUCUUUGCUAUCAGCUCUUGUUUGCAUUUUACUUAUGCAAAUUUCUCUAUCAAGUGGUUGCUUAGCAGCUCACUUGAAUUCUUCUCUUGAAAAUAGGCUUUUCUCUUCUACCACAUGGCCAGGUUGCAAAUUUUCCAAACUACUAUGGUCUGCUUCCUCUUUAAAUAGAAUAUAAUUUCCAACCUUAGGUCAUUUAUUUGCUCACACAUCUGAACAUAGGCUGUUAGACACAGCCAUGCCACAUCUUGAACACUUUGCUGCUUAGAAAUUUCUUCUGCCAAAUAACCUAAAUCAUCACUCUCAAGUUCAAAUGUUCACAGAGUCCUAAAGGAUGGACACAAUUCAACCAAGUUCUUUCCUAAGGCAUAACACAUGUCACGUUUGUUCCAGUUCCCAAUAAGUUCCUCAUUUCCAUCUGACACCUCAGCAGCCAGGACGUCACUGUCCAUAUUACUAUUAGCAUUUUGGUCACAACCACUUAACAGUCUCUAAGAAAUUCCAAACUUCUUUCAUCUUCCUGUCUUCUUCUGAGCCCUCCAAACUCUUCCAAUCUUUGCCCAUUACCCAGUUUUGAAGUUGCUUCUGCAUUUUCAGAUAUCUUUAUAGCAAUACUCCACUGGCUCUUAUGUCCUAGGAUGAGAACCACAAGCAUGAGAACAUGAGGAUAAAUACACUUUGGGGAAAAAGAAAACAGACAGAGGCAGCAGAGAAGGAAGACGAGAAGAAGAGAAAAAGAGAAGUAGGAAGAGGAUGAAUUCAUUUCGCUUAUCUGGCAAAUGUGUAAUCUGAGUAAUAGAGGUGAGUGUUUCUAAGAGGAUGCUGUUCAGAGACAAAUACACUGUUUAAAAUCCAUUAGAUCUGUGUGCUCUUGUCAUAUCCCUCACCUGAAAACUAGAGAAAUAUGGGCAGGUAACCACUGAAAUAUAUAAACAGCAAGGAGCAUUAAAAAUGCAGAGGUACUGAGAGUUACAGGAAUGUAUAACUUUGGGACAUUAAUCAUUUUAGAAAAUGCUUUUAUGAAGUAGUAAAUUUUUUUCUUUUUUCUUGAGUAGUUGUAUUUUAAAAUAUGUUUGGAUUACUAAAAAGUUGUAAAAAUGGUACAGGCAGUUCCCGUAUACAUGUUCUUCAGCGUUGGCUGAUGUUACCUUUUUUUUUUUUUUUUGAGGCAGAGUCUCACUCUGUCGCCCAGGCUGGAGUGCAGUGGCAUGAUCUUGGCUCACUGCAAGCUCUGCUUCCCUGGUUCACACCAUUCUCCUGCCUCAGCCUCCCAAGUAGCUGAGACUACAGGUGCCUGCCACUAUACCUGGCUAAUUUUUUUGUAUUUUUCAGUAGAGACGGGGUUUUACCGUGUUAGCCAGGAUGGUCUUAAUCUCCUGACCUCGUGAUCUGCCCUCCUGGGCCUCCCAAAGUGCUAGGAUUACAGGCGUGAGCCACCGCGUCCGGCCAUCUUUUUUAUUUUAUUUUAUUUUAUUUAUUGAGAUGGAGCCUCACUCUGUUGCCUUUUUGUGCAAUCUCGGCUCACUGCAACCUCUGCCUCCUGGGCUCAAGUGAUUCUUUUGCCUCAGCCUCCCAAGUAGCUGGGAUUACAGGCGCAUGCCUCCAUGCCCGGCUGAUUCUUUGUACUGUCAGUAGAGGUGGGGGUCUCGCCACGUUGGCCAAGAUGGUCUCAAACCCCUGACCUCAGGUGAUCUGCCCACCUUGGCCUCCCAAAGUGCUGGAAUUACAGGCACAAGCCAUAGUGCCCGGCAUAAUGUUACUUUCAUACUUAAGUGUGGUAUAUCUGUGAACCUUAAAAAUUCACAUGGGUACAAUAUUUAUUAAAGAAAUUACAGACACAUUUUCAGUGGGUUUUUUAAUUUUUUUUUUUUUUUUUUUGAGACGGAGUCUCACUCUGUCGCCCAGGCUAGAGUGCAGUGGCACAAUCUUGGCUCACUGCAAGCUCCGCCUCCCAGGUUCAUGCCAUUCUUCUGCCUCAGCCUCCCGAGUAGCUGGGACUACAGGUGCCCGCCACCCCGCCCAGCUAAUUUUUUGUAUUUUUUAAUAGAGAUGGGGUUUCACCGUGUUAGCCAGGAUGGUCUCGAUCUCCUGACCUCAUGAUCUGCCCUCCUUGGCCUCCCAAAGUGCUGGGAUUACAGGUGUGAGCCACCGCACCCUGCCUUUUUUUUGUUUUUUUAAGUUCCAGAGACCAUGUGCAGGAUAUGCAGGUUUGUUACAUAGGUAAAUGCGUGCCAUGGUGGUUUGCUGCACCUAUCAACCCAUCACCUAGGUAUUAAACCUGGCAUGCAUUAGCUAUUUCUUUUGAUACUCUCCUCCCAACCAUGCCCUCCUCUGACAGGCCACAGUGUGUGUGUUCCCCUCCCUGUUUCCAUGUGUUCUCAUUGUUCAGCUCCCACUUAUAAGUGAGAACAUGCAGUGUUUGAUUUCCUGUUCCUGUGUCAGUUUGCUGAGGAUAAUGUCUUUCAGCUCCAUCCAUGUCCCUGCAAAGGACAUGAUCUUGUUCCUUUUUAUGGCUGCAUAGUACUCCAUGGUGUAUUUGUACCACAUUUUCUUUAUCCAGUCUAUCACUGAUGGGCAUUUGGGUUGAUUUCGUGUCUUUGCAAUUGUGAAUAGUGUUACAAUGAACAUACACAUGCAUGUAUUUUUAAAAUAGAAUGAUUUAUAUUCCUUUGGGUAUAUACCCCAUAAUGGGAUUGCUGGGUCAAAUGGUAUUUCUGGUUCUAAAUCUUUCAGGAAUCACCACACUGUCUUUCACAAUGGUUGAAUUAAUUUACAUUCCCACAAACAGUGUAAAAGCAUUCCUAUUUCUCUGCAACCUCGCCAGCAUCUGUUGCUUCUUGGCUUUUUAAUAAUUGCCAUUCUGACUGGUGUGAGAUGGUAUCUCAUUGUGGUUUUCAUUGGCAUUUCUCCAGUGAUCAUUGGCAUUUCUCCAGUGAUCAGUGAUAUUCAGCUUUUUUUUCACAUUUGUUGGCCACAUGUAUGUCUUCUUCUAAGAAGUGUCUGUUCAUGUCCUUUGCCCAUUUUUUAAUGGCAUUUUGUUUUUUGUAAAUUUGCUGAAGUUCCUUAUGGAUGCUGAAUAUUAGACCUUUGUCGGAUGGAUAUGUUGCAAAAAUUUUCUUCCAUGCUGUAGGUUGCUUAUUCACUCUGAUGAUAGUUUUCUUUUGCUGUGCAGAAGCUCUUUGGUUUAAUUAGAUCUUAGUUGUCAAUUUUUGCUUCUGCUGCAAUUGGUUUUAGAGAUUUCAUCAUAAAAUCUUUGCCCAUGCUUAUGUGUCCUGUAUGGUAUUGCCUAGAUUUUCUUCUAGAGUUUCUAUAGUUUUUAUUUUUUUUUUACAUAUAAGUCUUUAAUCCAUCUAGAGUUAAUUUUUGUAUAAGGUGUAAUAAAGGGUCCAGUUUCAAUUUUCUGCAUGUGACUAGCCAGUUCUCCCAACAUCAUUUUUAAAUAGGGAAUCCUUUCCCCAUUGCUGGUUUUUGUCAGGUUUGUUGAAGAUCAGAUGGUAGUUUAGUGGGAAUAGCAUUAAAGCUAUAAACUGCUUUGGGCAGUAUGGCUGUUUUCAUGAUAUUGACUCUUCCUGUCCAUGAGCAUGGAAUGUUUUUCCAUUUGUUUGUGUCCUCGCUGAUUUCCUUGAGCAGUAAUUUGUAGUUCUCCUUGAAGAGGUCCUUCACUUCCCCUUAUUAGCUGUAUUUCUAGGUGUUUUAUUUUCUCUGUGGCAAUUGUGAAUGAGAAUUUAUUCAUGAUUUGGCUCGCUGCUUGUCUGUUCUUGGUUUAUAGAAGUGCUUUUAAUUUCUGCACAUUGGUUUUGUAUCCUGAGACUUUGCUGAAGUUGCUUAUCAGCUUAAGAAGUUUUUGGGCUGAGUUGAUGGGGUUUUCUAGAUACAGCAUCAUGUCAUCUGCAAACAAAGACAAGUUGACUUCUUCUCUUCCUAUUUGAAUACCCUUUAUUUCUUUGUCUUGCCUGAUUUCCUUUGCCAGAAUUUCCAAUACUGUGUUGAAUAAGAGUGGUGAGAGAGGGCAUCCUUUUCUUGUGCCCGUUUUCAAGGGGAGUGCUUCCAGCUUUUGCCCAUUCACUAUGAUACUGGCUGUCGGUUUGUCAUAAAUGGCUCUUAUUUUGGAUAUGUGCCAUCAAUACCUAGUUUAUUGAGAGUUUUUAUCAUGAAGAGAUGUUGAAUUUUAUCAAAGGCCUUUUCUGCAUCUGUUAAGAUAGUGUUGUGUUUUUUGUCUCUAGUUCUGUUUAUGUGAUGAAUUAUGUUUAUUGAUUUCAUGUAUUGAACCAGCCUUGCAUCCCAGGAAUGAAGCCAACUUGUUCAUGGUGGAUAAGCUUUUUGAUGUGCUGCUGGAUUUGGUUUGCCAGUAUUUUAUUGAGGAUUUUGACAUCGAUGUUCAUCAGGGGUAUUGGCAAGAAGUUUUAUUUUUUUGUUGUAUAUCUCUGCCAGGUUUGGUAUCAGAAUGAUGCUGGCCUCAUAAAAUGAGUUAAGGAGGAGUCUCUUCUUUUCGAUUGUUUGGAAUAGUUACAGAAGAAAUGUACCAGCUCCUCUUUGCACCUCCAGUAGAAUUCAGCUGUAAAUCCAUCUGGUCCUGGGCUUUUUUUGGUUUGUAGGUUAUUAAUUACUGCCUCAAUUUCAGAACUUGUUAUUGGUCUAUUCAGGGAUUCAACUUCUUCCUGGUUGAGUCUUGGGAGGGUGUAUGUGUCCAGGAAUGUGUCCAUUUAUUCUAGAGUUUCUGAUUGAUUUGCAUAGAAGUGUUUAUCAUUUUCUCUGACAGUAGUUUGUAUCUCUGUGGGGUCAGUGGUAAUGUCAUCAUUAUCAUUUUUGAUUGUGUUUAUUUGAAUCUUGUCUUUUUUUCUUUAUUAGUCUAGCUAAUGGUCUAUCUAUUUUAUUGAUUUUUUUUUUCAAAGAACCAGCUCCUGGAUUUGUCGAUUUUUUUGAAGGGUGUUUUGUGUCUCUUUCUUCUUCAGUUGUGCUCUGUGCUUGGUUAUUCCUUGUCUUCUGCUAACUCUGAAAUUUAUUUGCUCUUGGUUCUCUGGUACUUUUAGUUGUGAUGUUAGGGUGUCCAUUUGAGAUCUUUCUAGCUUUUUGUUGGAUCUAUUUAGUGCUGUAAAUUUCCCUCUUAACACUGCUUUAGCUGCAUCCCAGAGAGUCUGGUAUGUUGUCUCUUCGUUCUCAUUAGUUUCAAAGAAUUUCUUGGUUUCUGCCUCAGUUUUAUUAUUUAUCCAGAAGUCAUGCAGGAGCAGGUUGUUCAAUUUCCAUGUAGUUACGUGUUUUUGAGUGAAUUUCUUAAUCUUGAGUUCUAAUUUGAUUGUGCUGUGGACUGAGAGACUGUUAUGAUUUCAGUUCUUUUGCAUUUGCUGAGCAGUGGUUUACUUCUAAUUAUGUGAUCAAUUUUAGAGUAAGUGCCAUGUGGUACUGAGAAAAAUGUAUGUUCUGUUGGUUUUGGGUGGAGACUUAUGUAGAUCUCUGUCAGGUCCAGUUGAUCCAGGGCUGAGUUCAAGUCCUGAAUAUCUUUCUAAAUUUUCUUUCUCGAUGAUCUGUCUAAUAUUGGCAGUGAGGUAUUAAAGUCUCCCGCUAUUAUUGGGUGGGUAUUCAAGUCUCUUUGUAUGUCUUUAAAAAUUUGUUUUAUGGGCUGGGCGUGGAGGCUCACGCCUGUAAUCCCAGCGCUUUGGGAGGCUGAGGCGGGUGGAUCACUUGAGGUCAGGAGUCCGAGACCAGCCUGGCCUACGUGGUGAAACCCUGCCUCUACUCAAAAUACAAAAAUUAGACGGGUAUGGUAGUGGGCGCCUGUAAUCCUAGCUACUUGAGAGGCUGAAGCACAAGAGUCACUUGAUCCUGAAAAGUGGAGGUUGCAGUAAGCUGAGAUCGCACCACUGCAGUACAGCCUGUGAGAUAGAGAGAGAUUCAGUCCUAAUAAAACAAAAUAAAAAUAACUUGUUUUAUGAAUCUGGGUGCUCCUGUAUUGGGUGAAUAUAUAUUUAUGAUAGUUGGCUCUUUUUGCUGAAUUAAAGUUUUUACCAUUACCUAAUGCCCUUCUUUGUCUUUUUUGACCUUUCUUGGUUUAAAGUCUGUUUUGCCAGAGACUAGGAUUGCAACCCCUGCUUGUUUCUGCUUUCCAUUUGCUUGGUAAAUUUUCCUCCAUCCGUUUACUUUGAGCCUAGGUGUAUCUUUGCACGUGAGAUGGGUCUCUUGAAUACAGCAGUCCAAUGGGUCUUGAUUCUUUAUCCAAUUUUUUAGUCUUUGUCUUUUACUGGGGGCAUUUAGCCCAUUCACACAUAAGGUUAAUAUUGUUAUGUGUGAAUUUGAUCCUGUCAUCAUGAUGCUGGCUGGUUAAUUUUGCAGACUUGUUAAUCUAGUUGCUUCAUGGUGUCGUUGGUCUGUGUACUUCAGGGUGUUUUUGUAGUUUUGAAGAGCACUUGUCAAAUUUUUUUAUCAAAUGUCCUUCAAUUUGAAUUUGAUUUUUUUUCAUGUGGACAGAAGGAUUAAGAUCUAGUAUUUGACAGUACAGUAGAACUAUAGCUAACAAUAUUUUGUGGUAUAGUUGCUGGGGAAGAGGAAUUGGAAUGUUCCCAACAUAAAGAUGGGUGAAGGUUUGGGGUGAGGGAGUCCCAGUUGCCCUGGUUUAUUGGUAUACAUUGUAUGCAUGUAUCAAAAUACUGCGUGUACCAACAAAACAUGUGUAAGUAUUAUGUAAUGAUAAAGUCUGUGUCAGGGGUCUCUGUACACUUAUGGCUGAGGGCUGGGCUUCGCAUGCAUGAGGCAAGAUCACCAGACAUUUACCAAAUAGCAGUGAUAUGUUUUAUUAUUCCUCACUCUCCAAACUUGUUAACACACAGCAGUGACUAUGAACAGUUCCUUAACACCCUUGGCAUCCAGCUGAGUCAUUGAAUGUAGCCAGACAAAAACAGACACGUCACAGACAGUGGAGAAAGAGGAGAAGAAGGCCCCCUGACUUCUCAUCCAAAAAAUGGAGGCCUAACACAAAUGGAAAAUUGUCUUUAAAUUGCUGAAGAAUAAAAAAUACUUAAUGCUAUAUCCUAUGAAAAUAUCCUUUAAAUAUGAGGAUAAAAAUCAAGGUAAUCUUAGAAACAUGCCAAGCUAUGAGAAUUUUUAUUGCCUACAACCUACAUGACAACCAGUUCUAAAGGAACUCCUUCAGUCUGCAGGAAUCAUAGUGCAGGUCCAGGGAUGAACCUGAGAAGCAGUAAAGGAGUAUAUAUAAAAGACAACAUUUUCUUUCCUGAUGGAAUUGCUGUAAAACACUACCGACUCUUUAAAGAACAAUAACCCCACAGGCAGUUUUUAUACUGCAGGCAAAAGUAAAAAUUAUAAGAAUUGCACAAAGAAGGAUAUGGGGUAAAUGGAAUCAGUUAUACACUCUUGGUUUUCUCCUCACUGAGACUGAAGAGGAAAUUAAUGAAUUUUACAAUAUGUGAAGCCAGAAAAUUAACUUUCCCCUCAGGGCUUAGUUAUAAGGUAGCGCCCCCGUCCCCACCCCGUAGUAGAAGUUAGAGAAGGAUAUUAACAGCCUGUGCUCCUUCUGUGCUCCAUGAGCCUCAUCUAUACUCCCCAGUUUCACAUUCCUUAGAGCUCUGUGAAUUCUUGCUUACCUCCCCAGCACAGCUGCAAGGUCAUAAGAUUGAUACGUAUAUAUUACACAACCAUGUAUUCCCAAGGAUGUAAGACAUGGAGUAACAACUGCCUUUCUUCUCGCUUCUGUAAGUACGCUUCCUGCAUCACGUAAUUCCCACCACUGAUUGUUUAAAAGGUGGCUGCUCUCUUUGUUCGGGGCUCAGACUUUCCUGGACGCUAGUCCUACUGAGCCAGGUGCUCACCUUAAUAAAGGCUCUCCUGAACUCUGUUCAGUCUCUCCCAUCUCUGAUUGUCCCGCUACAAGACAGUUACCAAAUCCUCCAUCUGCAUAACUCCAUCAGCAAACCCUGCAUUUACCUUCUGGGACAAUGUGGUACUUUCCCUACAUUUUUCUCCCUGUCUCAUCCUUUCAUCUAUUUAUUGCAUAUCUUAAAGUAGAUGUUUUUCACCAACUACACACUGGUAUCUGGUAUUAAUGAGGAUGUCAGUAAAUAAUAUUGGCACCACAGAAAAUAAGUGUAUGUCUGUUCUUUGUCUUCCCAAAUACUAAUCUGUAAAUUUCUUUAGGUUGUGACUUGAGGUCAUCAUAAUCAUUACCUUCUUCCCAAUCCUGAUUCAAACCUUGACCCAUAAUAGGUGCUUAAUACCUAAACAUAUGAAGGAAUAAAGAAUGGAUGCAUAUUCUAAGUUAAUAAAUAAUCAGGAACAAAUACAUGGAAGGAUCAGUACUGCCAGUUUAAACACACACAAACUGCGCUUCAAACAUCUUGCACUAUUUGCCAAUAAACACAGUCUGGAGCCAAAGUUCAAGUUGGAAUUUUCUGUUAUAAAUCAUUUUAUCAUAAUUGUUUUACAGUCAUAAUUGUUUUACAGAGCUUGGUCUUGGGCUAUUGUUGUUACUUUAUUUUUUAAUUUAGUUUUUCCAGUAUUUUCUUGUAUCUCUACAAUGUUUUAAGCAUCAGCUAAGUCAGUGUAAAACAGUAAAAAUUGGGAAAAAAAUUGACAUGAUCUUCAAAAUCAUGGAGUAUACAGUAAAAUAAAUGAACCUGACAGUAAAUAAGCAAAUAGAAAUACAGCACAGUAUUAAUACAUUGUGACACUGUAAUAUUAGAACAUUUUGAUAAUACUGUUACUACCACAUCACCUGAGACAUUUGGAGGCAGUUUUAUACAAUUUUGAUAGUUUUGGUAAGUUUUGAUUUAAGCAAUAAUCUAUCAUGAGAAAAAGUUCACACUUACUGCCCAGGGUUACUCAAUGCUAGAGGCUUCAUGUGGAGCUUCUGAAAUUAUGUAUGGGAGACCCGUGGAGCUGUCAAUUGGGAACAAAAUGCCCCACAUCAUGAUUACUAUCCUCAAUAGAAAAACCACGUUGGGUUUCAAAUAUCAGUGUCACACCCACAUUUCCUCUGAAAUUCAGGUGCUGGUUUACAGCUAAGAUGCUUUCCACAUGAGCAUAUUAAUGUUGGGGUCCUCAGUUUUGGGGAUGUAGCCAGGAUUUACUUAAAUGAAGGCUGAGGAUUUCCUGGGGAAAUACCAGAAACAUUGUCUUGUAUAUGACACAGUAGAUUGGAACAAGAUUUUCUAAUAUGCAUAGUUUAGGGAAUCGCAUUUUAACUCUGUCCCUAAAACACAGUCAUUCAGCCGUCAGAAAGUGGUCCACGCUGACAUUCCAUUAUUAACUCACCUUGGCCUUGGAAUUCAAGAAUGACUUGGGGAAGAGCUGAAUGGGAAGGUGGGAGGUGUAGAGGUGUGGGCCCUUCUGACUCUCUAAACCUGCUUUCUUACGUUUAACUUCUAUCCAUGGUGAACGAUCCCAGGGAACAACAGAUUGGACCCAACUAGGAUCUCCCUUGGAGUGGAUCAGACUGAUGAUUUCCACUAUCCAAAAGCUUCCUGAAUAAAAAAGAAGAAGGUGUCACCUACUUCAAUGUGACAUUGACCCCACCACUACAUCUUAAAGACCCUGUGUUAUUUCAGCAAUAAUGCCCCUGCCCAUCAAUCCAACUGGUGUUUUCAUUCCUCAUCUUAGUCUUAAGUGCAUUCAACUGAUGCUUUAUUCUAGAGGUACUCUGUUCCUUUCACCUUUAUGUGGCCAUCUUUACCCUGUUUUGUCAUAAUACUCUUUUAAAAAACCAACUUUUAAAAUGUUAAAUUGUGGUAAAAUACAAACAAACAAUUGACUGGCUUAACCAUUUGUAAGUGUCCGGUUCAGUAAAUAUGCACAUUAUCAUGCAACCAUCACCACCAUCCAUCUCCAGAAUGUUUUUCUCUUUGCAAAAUUGAAACUCUGUAAACAUUAAAAAGCAACUCUUUUUAUUCUCUUCCCAUCAGCUCCUCGCAACCACCACACUACUUUCCCUCUCUAUGAAUAUUUCUAUACCAGGUACCUCCUAUGACUGGAUCACACAGUAUUUAUCCUUUCAUGCCUGACUUUUACAUAGUAUAGUGCCCUCAAGGUCCAUCCAUGUGGUACCAUGUAUUAGAACUUCCUCUCUUUUAAGGGCGACUAAUAUUCCAUUGUUUGUAUAGAGUACAUUCUGUUUAUCUGUUCAUCUGUCGAUGGACAUGUGGGCUGCUUCCACCUUUGGGCUGUUGGAUGCCCUAAUAUUCUUGCUCCCACUGCUCAAUAUCAUUUUAUUUAUUUAUUUAUUUAUUUUUUAUUUUAUUUUUAUUUUUUGAGACAGAGUCUCGCUCUGUCACCCAGGCUGGAGUGCAGUGGCACGAUCUCGGUUCACUGCAAGCUCUGCCUCCCGGGUUCAUGCCAUUCUCCUGCCUCAGCCUUCCGAGUAGCUGGGACUACAGGUGCCUGCCACCACGCGCAGCUAAUUUUUUGUAUUUUUUUUUAGUAGAGACGGGGUUUCACCGCCGUUAGCCAGGAUGGUCUCGAUCUCCUGACCUCCUGACCUCCUGAUUCGCCCGCCUCGGCCUCCCAAAAUGCUGGGAUUACAGGCGUGAGCCACCGCGCCCGGCCUCAAUAUCAUUUUAAAAAGAGCAAAACUGUCAUGUGCAGCCAACAUGGAGGGAGGGAACUGGAAGAAAUUAUGUUAAGUGAAAUAAGCUCAGCCCAGUAAAACAAUGGCACCAAAUAGUCUUAAUGCACAGAAUAGACCAUUGAACCACUGCACACAUGCACUUGCUAAAUAUUACAAUAUUUUCACUCCCAUUUUCCCACCUUUCAUAUUCUUUCUCUAGUUACACUGUAGUAUCCGUUACACUCGAUAAUCCCAGCUUCCCUGUAUGUGCUUCUCCACCAGCGAUCUCUGCCUCAAUGCAUGACACCAACACAUGUCUACUAUUCUUUGCCUGAAACCUCAGGCAUAUGUAUGUGCCUUCUCCUCAUCCAUGCGGUUCUCAGCUGGGGUAAACUGUGUCCACCUCAAGGGAAAAUUAACAGUGACUGCAGACAUUUUGAGUUAUCACACUUGAGUAUGCUACUGACUCCAGUGGGCAGGGGCCAGGGAUGCAGCUAAACAUCCUACAAUGCACAGGACAGCCCUCUUCCCCCUGAAAAUGUAUUAUGUGGCCCACAAUGUCUGUAGUGUAAUAGAUCGAAACACUGCCAUCUGGCAAAGACCUUCUCCUCGACCAGACUUGACUUGGGCUUCCCUGAGUCCUCUUCCUGACUAGGCCUGGACUUUGGACAUCUGUGUUGAAACUGUGUUGCACCCAGUUUCAACAAGGGUAAUGAGAAUCCCCCCAUCCUUGAUACCUGAUCAGAUUUCCCAUGUUCCACUCUUAAUGUCUAAAUCUUUGGCCUGCCUUUAGCAAGGAUUCUGCUCCUGAUACCUAAUCAAGUUGUUCUUUGUAAUUUCCCACCCACUGACCGCCUUACUUUGAUAAUUGUCUACAAAAAACCAACUAUCAUUGCUAUAUUCAGAGUUGGGUCUCUCUCCCCUGUUGCAAUUGUCUUGAAUAUUCUUCCUCACCAUUUACCCAAGUGUCAGAAUAUUUUUUCUUUUACAUCUAACAGUCUCACAUUCACGCUCAGCAUCUAAGGAUAAAUGUUUAUUUUUUCACCGAAAUUCUUUCAAUAAUCAGUCCCUUCUAACCAUCCUGCAUGAUCACUUAAAUCUGCCUUAGCUUCUGUGGGAUCUCAUGUCUCUCUCUGUCUCUACAGUGCCCCAGUAAUCACAUUCAUUUGCAUUAUGUUUAAUUGUCUGGUUUAAUCCGUCUCUCUGAGUAGAAGCUUUGUUAAAACACCACACUAUCGGCGCCUGUAGUCCCAGCUACUUGGGAGGCUGAGGCAGGAGAAUGGCGUGAAUCCAGGAGGCGGAGCUUGCAGUGAGCUGAGAUCGUGCCACUGCACUCCAGCCUGGGUGACAGAGCGAGAUUCCGUCUCAAAAACAAAGAAACAAACAAACAAAAAAACCCCACACUAUCCACCAAAGCAUACCCAAGCGCAGGGCAUAAAGAAGGCACUCCAUCAGUAUCUUCACCGCAUCCCUUCCUGAGUUUCGGGUCCCACUUCCCUACCUGACUUUGGGUAAGAAAGUGUAAUGACAUCUUCAUCCCGCAACACAAUUUCAUCUUGCAAACGUCUCAGGUCUGUAAAAUUAUUGCUGGGAAAAGGAAUCCCUUCAAUCCAGAUAGAUCCACCAGCCAUCUAAAGAAACACCACAGUCUUCCCAGGUUCGUAUUCGCUGCACCUGUGCAAUCUUAGCGGCACCACUUUUCUUGUUCUGCGACAGGUUAAGAUGCAAAGGAUGGAGACAUUGGGACAGAGCAGCCCAAGUUCAUUUUGAUACAGCUCCGAUGACUGGACGAUUACCAGGCUUUUUGGUCUGGUGCUGAUAGGAUUAACGACAUGGACACAUGUGGAGUAGUUUUAAGGAGUGAAAAGUUUAAUAGCAAGUAAGAAGGAAGAAAGAAGAGAACAGCUCCCCCGUACUGAGACAUGGGAAAGGAACAGAGAUAGACCCUGUGCGCAACAGAAAGACAGUCCCUUAUAUCUGGAGGCUGGAGGAGGCAGUAUCUGGUUUGCAUAGGGCCCAAAGGAUUGGCUUGACCAGGUGUGUUAUUCAUGUAGCCUGGGAGAAACCAGGCCCUCCCGCCAUAGCCUUUUAAUAUGCAAAUGUGGGUUGCCAUGAUGGUUUGAACACAUGGUGUUACUUGGAGGUGGCCUUCACACUUUGCACAGGUGGUAACAAGGAGAAGACGGUGGGAAUCACCAUGUUGAGUGGACCCAGUUUCUAGUGGCCAGCAUUUGCAUAUCAAAGCUUGUCAGCCCGGCCCUUGAAGCCGCCUUUUUGGUUAGAAAAGAGAUUGCUUGGUUAGAAAAGAGAUUUCUUAUUACAGGAAAAUUUUCACCAAGAACCUUUACCCUUACUGUAUGCCUAAAAUGAUUUCUUAAUAACUCCUGUAAUAUCCCCCCCUCAAAGAGAAGUAAACCUAACUGCUGUUAGGGGGUGUUAGAUGAUGAUUCUUUCUGGGUACUGUCUGCUGAAAAGGGGCGUGUGGUUGGGGGGGGACAGCAAUUGGGCCUUCUCCUGUGGUUGAUCUGAGGUUCUCAGAAGAAUGGCAUGUCUGUGUGUGGCUCAGCUCACAGCACCAUUUAAAGUUUAAUUGCUUCUAUUAAACUUUAUUUAAUGUUUUAUUAAAUAAAACAUUAUUUAAUAAAAUAUUAAAAUAUUAAACUUUAUUUGAUUUAAGGUGAAAAAAUAUAAAUUUUACAAGAAGAUUUAAAAUGUAGGGUUAGGAUACAAUUAUUAAAAUUACCACCGUUAGUGGGGGGCCCUGUUAGACCAUAACUGACAGUAGAGUUUGACACCUUUUAGUUACACCAAUGGAUUGCAAUACUGGCUUGCCUCCACUAGAUGUCGGUGUACAUUACCAGAAACGUUAAUAUAGCGGUAACUUUUUCCUAGAGAAAAGCGGACAUUUCCCCCUUAAUCUGCCGUUAGAGAAUAACUUUAGGCCUAGGCCAUUUUUACAACUUGCAAUAUGAUUGGGAGAAAGACAUUAUUGGGUGGCUAAAAUAACUUUAGCGUUAAUUUUGACAAUUCCUUUCCUUUAAUUACUAAAUUCUUUUAUGACUUUUAUAAACCUUCUUACAACACCUUUACACUUUUUGAUUUGUCCUAAACAUCCUUUCUUUAAACAACCGGUUAUUUCCCUUUAGUACAAGAAUUUACCAUACAAAAUCCUUCCGUACAUAAAAUCUCUUCCUUUAUAACCUUUUCAUAGUGUGUAUUAUAUUACCAACCUUUAGUAAAAAGUCUUUUCAAACUUAGUGAUGGUAUAACUUUCAUGCUUCUUAUCCAUAACUAUUAGUCCUGCUAUAAGCAAAACAACCUUGACUAAAUUUUUCCUGCAAUUAUUAAUCCUGUUAUAAGGAUGAUAAUCUGGCAAAAUAUUACAGCAAUUAGAAUUUUACAACCAGAAUUCCACAUUGUGAGUGCCACAGCGUUUAGUUCUAUUGCAAAUAGUAGCUUGACUAGAACAAUUUUCACAAGAGUGGCAUAGUAAAUAAUUUUCAUUUAAAACUUUACUUGCCAAGACAUAACAUGUCCCUUUGGGGAUUUACAAAGUUACAAAUAUGAUUCUAUGAAUAAUUAAAUCUCUCUGCAAAUAUGCAUUAAAAAGAAGUUCUAAUAUUUGGCAGUGAACUUUGAGAGGAAAGUUUAGAAAUAAUAAAAAGUAUUUGAUAAGGUAGGAGUGGGACUGAGUAAGAUGCGUAGCCCUCACUCAGUUACUUAUCUUUUAUGAUUUUCAGCUUAAGAUCUUCUACUUUUUUUUUUUUUUUUUUUUUUUUUUUGAGACGGAGUUUUGUUCUGUCGCCCAGGCUGGAGUGCAGUGGUGUGAUCUUGGCUAACUGCAACCUCCACCUCCCGGGUUCAAGCGAUUCUCCUGCCUCAGCCUCCUGAGUAGCUGGGACUACAGGCGCCCACCACUGCACCCGGCUAAUUUGAAUUAGUUUUUGUAUUUUUAGUAGAAACAGGGUUUCACCAUGUUAGCCACGCUGGUCUCGAUCUCCUGACCUCGUAAUCCGCCCGUCUCGGCCUCCCAAAGUGCUGGGAUUACAGGCGUGAGCCACCGCGCUCGGCCAAGAUCUUCUAUUUCUUCACACUGAUAUUGAGGACAUUCCUCUGGACCGUCAGGGGUUGCUUCCUCAGCUUUGCAGGCUUUGGCUUGAUCGUGAUGUAUUCACAAGUUGAUUCCUGUAACUUUUACUGCCCAAGGGGGUUGAGAGAACAACAGUGUAGGGCCCUUCCUAGCUUGGCUUAGGGAAGGUGACAGAGGUGAGAGUUUUACUAAUACCAAAUUUCUUGGGUUAAAUAGAGGUGGUUCCUGCUGGAAGUGAGCUAGAGAGGUUACAUGCUUAACCAAUUUAGAGGUUUCCUGCCUGAAAACAAUUUCUGAGCACAUGGAUAAGUUUUAUCCUUUCCCAAGUGAAAAGCUUGGUGAAGGAUUUUAAGAACUUUUCAUUGGCUGGAGGCUGGCAAAUAGAGUUUGCCAUCCUGACUGUAGCCAUCCUGAGGGCUGAAAAGUAUGCCCUAGAGAAGUAGUCUAUUCUAUUUUUGUAGGGGAAUACUGAGGUUUAAUUUCUCUUACAGAGUCUUUUUAGAUUAGAAGGGGCUUGAAGUGUGUUAAUACCUCGAAGCUUUCAUGCCUUUGACUUAGCUGCCUGAUCAGCUAAUUUAUUUCUUUCGGCUACCUUGUUUCCUUUUAAUGUUCCUUAAAAUGCAUCCUUGCUAUUUUUUUGUGGAAGAAAAACUGAGGAUAAUAACCUGCUAAUUUCCUGGUGAUAUUUUAUAGGAGAUCCAUUAGUGGUAAGAAAAUGUGUUUCCUUUUAAAUGGCCCCAGCAUGAGCAUGGAGAGCUAUGAAAGCAUACUUGGAGUUAGUGUAAAUGUUAGCUGCCUUUCCCUUGCUUAAUUUAGGUGCUCUUGUAAGAGCUAUUAGCUCAGCUAAUUGAGCGUUUGUGCCUGGGGAGAGUGACUACUGCUUAUCCUGCCUUAUGUACAUCUUGCUUUACUGGCUGUCAGCUAAGAGCUCCCCCUAGAGGACCGUGAUUCUGCUACAUUAUGUGGGCUGUAAACAGUUAAAUUAUUUCCUAGGGUUAACUUGGAGGCUUUUCUGACUAGUAGAGCUAUCAUGACAAUGGCUUGCAAGCGUGUGUCAACUAAGGUUGAGAAAAAGAUUGGAUUAGCCUUUUUCCUGAGAUGCCCCUUACGGUCAUGCUCUGGGGAGAGGGGAGAUCUGGAUUAGAGAGGAGAAGACAGAGAGAGACUAGCUCUAGUGUUUGGAAGGAGGUUUACUUUCCUUCCUUUAAUUUCCAGAAUCAUCCAGAGCUCCUGUGCUAUAAUGGCAGUUUGAACCGCUGGAGCCGAGAUUUGAGCCCCGGGACCCAUCAGUCCUGCUGGACCGUCUGUGAAACUGGUCCUGAACCCAGUGACCUCCGCCUCUGGGGGCAAUUCCAUCUCCAGUGGUUUUUGCCACAGGCUGGACAGGGUCGAAGUUGCUUCGUCUUGCUGCCUGGGCAAUCCUUAAAAUGCCCUGGCCUGCCACAUCAAUAGCAACUAGCAGAUGCACCUUGGGGAUUCUGGAUGUUGCAAGCCUGCAAAGCUGCUGCUAGAGCCUCUGUCCGUCUCCCGAGCUUGCUCUCUUUCUUUUGGGCAUCCUCCUCCUGGUCCAUAUUAUUAAAGACCGAAGUGGCCACUUUCAGGAGGCUCUCUAAGGUGCUGUCUGGUCCUGUACCUUGGUUUUGUAGUUUCCUUCUACUAUCAGGAGCUGCCUUGUGUAAUAAACUUGUCCUUCAGGAUGAGCUGUUCCUCAACUGAAUUACGGGAUAAGGAGGUAUACUCUAUUAGUGCCUUUCCAUAAAGGCUACAGGAGUCUUAUCUGGCUUUUGGUCCAUUAUAGACAGUUUAGAGUAUGAUACCUUGUUUUAACCUGAAUUGACUCUCCCUUAGCUGAGAGAGCCAGACAGACACCAUCUUGGCUCCUUCACUUACAGCCCCUUACUCACCCCCUUCCUCAAGGACUUAACUUGUGCAAGCUGACUCCCAGCACAUCCAAGAGUGCAAUUAACUGAUAAGAUACUGUGGCAAGCUAUAUCUGCAGUUCCUAGGAAUUUGCCCAGUUGAUAGCACCCAGAGCCCCCCGCGUUUGUGUCCGGUUGAUAACACCCAAAGCCCCGCGCCUAUCACCUUGUGAUGGAUUUAAAACCCCUGCACCUGGAACCGUUUGCUUUCCUGUAACCAUUUAUCCUUUUUACUUUUUGCCUGCUUUAUUUCUGUAAGAUUGUUUUAACUAGACUCCCCCCACUCCCCUUUCUAAACCAAAGUAUAAAAGAAAAUCUAACCCCUUCUUCAGGGCCGAGAGAAUCUUGAGCACUAGCCGUCUCUCGGUCUCUGGCUAAUAAAGGACUCCUGAAUUUGUCUCAGCGUGUGGCGUUUCUCUGUAACUUGCUCGGUUACAACAAGAAUAAUUGAGGCUGGGCACAGUGGCUCACGCCUGUAAUCCCAGCACUUUGAUAGGCCGAGGCAGGCGGAUAACGAGGUCAAGGGAUCGAGACCAUCCUGGCUAACGCGGUGAAACCCCAUCUCUACUAAAAAUACAAAAAAUUGGCCGGGCAUGGUAGCAGGUGCCUGUAGUCCCAGCUACUCGGGAGGCCGAGGCAGGAGAAUGGCGUGAACCCAGGAGAAUGGCGUGAACCCAGGAGGUGGAGCUUGCAGUGAGCAGAGAUGGC
rnacentral:lncRNA from 1 species